GCCACUAUGGUUCAGUGGUUAAUCUACCCGUCCCGCUAAAAUCAGCGGAUGCGGAGAUCGGAGGUUCGAAUCCUCUUAGUGGCA